UACGGAGGGGGCGAGCGUUGUUCGGAAUUACUGGGCGUAAAGGGCGCGUAGGCGGUUUGGUAAGUUAGGUGUGAAAGACCUUGGCCCAACCAAGGAAUAGCAUUUAAAACUGCUGGGCUUGAGUAUAGGAGAGGAGAGUGGAAUUCCCAGUGUAGCGGUGAAAUGCGUAGAUAUUGGGAGGAACACCGGUGGCGAAGGCGACUCUCUGGACUAAUACUGACGCUGAGGCGCGAAAGCCAGGGGAGCGAACGGGAUUAGAUACCCCGGUAGUCCUGGCUGUAAACGAUGGACACUAGGUGUGGGAGGUAUCGAAUCCUUCUGUGCCGAAGCUAACGCAUUAAGUGUCCCGCCUGGGGAGUACGUUCGCAAGAAUGAA
rnacentral:rRNA from 1 species